rnacentral:rRNA from 1 species
CUGGCUCAGGAUGAACGCUGGCGGCGUGCCUAAUACAUGCAAGUCGAGCGAACGGACGAGAAGCUUGCUUCUCUGAUGUUAGCGGCGGACGGGUGAGUAACACGUGGAUAACCUACCUAUAAGACUGGGAUAACUUCGGGAAACCGGAGCUAAUACCGGAUAAUAUUUUGAACCGCAUGGUUCAAAAGUGAAAGACGGUCUUGCUGUCACUUAUAGAUGGAUCCGCGCUGCAUUAGCUAGUUGGUAAGGUAACGGCUUACCAAGGCAACGAUGCAUAGCCGACCUGAGAGGGUGAUCGGCCACACUGGAACUGAGACACGGUCCAGACUCCUACGGGAGGCAGCAGUAGGGAAUCUUCCGCAAUGGGCGAAAGCCUGACGGAGCAACGCCGCGUGAGUGAUGAAGGUCUUCGGAUCGUAAAACUCUGUUAUUAGGGAAGAACAUAUGUGUAAGUAACUG